UUCUGACACGUGAAGGUAUUUUACGCAGUAACAAACAUUUGACUGAGAGGCAAACUUUAAGGGGCAGUUCAGCACCAUAUGAGGUGGCUGUGAAUCCCCUUGUAGGUGAGAAUAGAGUUUCUCUGAAUUUGGCCCACACAGCUGCAGAAAGCUUUUCCUGUUGAUCUUAACGAGUCGCCUCCACUCACUUUGGAUCUUCUCAUCGACCGACGUACAGCUGUGCAUUUGAAGAUGAUGCGAUUUCUGUUCCUGUGUCUGCUGCUGCUGCUGCCAUCUGCUUCUGCUGUUUCAGAAGAGACUGAAGGAUCCGCUACUGGAGGUCCAGUUGAUGAUGAUGAUGAUGAGGAUUAACAG